rnacentral:rRNA from 1 species
UACGAAGGGGGCUAGCGUUGUUCGGAAUUACUGGGCGUAAAGCGCGCGCAGGUGGUCUUUCAAGUCAGUGGUGAAAGCCCGGAGCUCAACUCCGGAAAUGCCAUUGAAACUGUGAGACUUGAGGACGAGAGAGGUGAGUGGAAUUCCCAGUGUAGAGGUGAAAUUCGUAGAUAUUCGGAAGAACACCAGUGGCGAAGGCGACUUACUGGACACAUAUUGACGCUGAGGUGCGAAAGCGUGGGGAGCAAACAGG